ensembl:lncRNA
CACCAAGACGGAGAAAGAUGAGCAGUAAAGCAGAGGAACGUUCAGAGUGGGAACAGCAGGCGGCCCAGCCAAAGCAUGGACAUCAGCCUCAGUUCCCCAUUCCCAGUAAGUGUGUGAGUAUAUGUAUGAGAGAGGGCGUGUGUGUGUGUGUGUGUGUGUGUGUGUGUGUGUAGAGGUUGGGGAUCAUCCACAGAUCAGAGCACGGGGGCAGAGAACUUCUAAAGGGUUGGGCCCCCCCAUGGGUCACACCCUUCACCCUGGAGCCUGGAGGGCCUGUCUCUUGGACCCACCACCAGCUUCAACACCUCGAGCAGCCAGAGCCGUGCCCGUCACUGACCGGAGGAAGGUGGAAGAAGACACGGGAGUCCUCACAGUGGCCAGUAAGUACCCUGGAAAAGCUCUGGAAUAAAUACUCCUGGGCCUUAGAAAACGGAGGUAGGAGAUGGUAUCAUCUGGCGGGAGCUCUGGUUUGUUUAUUCCCCCCAGACUGAGGUCAGACACUUUGAGGAACGGGAGACAGUGAUGAGCAAGGCUUUGGAGCCAGCCGAGGGGAGGGCUCCGGACAGGUGGGCAGGAGGCCAGCUCAGCCGUCCCCCUUCCCCUUUGCUUUUGUGGACCCGAGGACCAAUUCCUGGUUCCCGGGACACUGGCCACUCCCUGCCACCCUCCUUUUUGUCUUCUAGCUUCUCCUGGUGGUGGCAGGCCCUCACGUCAGGUCCCAACAGGAGCCUCUGAGGCUGGCUGGACGCCUGCCACCAACAGCCUGGCUGGGUGGCUCUCUCAGGGUGCGUAUCCUGUAAGGUGAGGCUGUGGGGGCCCUGCAGAGUUCUCGGGUCUCCUCUUUGUUGGGUGCCUGCGGGAUAAAUAGCACCAUGAUCUUCCUGUGCAGAAGGCUGACCAGCCUUGGUGGGAACAGACACAGGAACCGGGGUCUGUUCCUUCUUCGGCUGCACCGUCUUCCUGUGGAGACACAGAUUCCCAUCGCGGGCUCCCAUUUUCCUGUUCCUUAAAUAAAAAAGCAGAGGUCAGUGGCAAGCAAGAAGGAAAUUCGUUAUCUCCCUCACACCUAAAAGAAACGCCUGCCGCCUCCUGUCUCUCCCUGGGCUCUGUCACCUCCGCCCAGUUUUCUGAGCCCCAAACCCGGUGUUCCUUCAAGACGCCUUGCUCUCAGCCAAUUGUCAGUCGGCAAGUGCGCCCCGGGCACGUGCUUUGUGCCAGGCUGUGCCAAGAGCUGCAGAGCCAGCGCUGGGUGAGACACACCUGCCGUCCAGGUGCUCACGGUCCAGGAGAGGGAACAGAUGCGGAAACAGGUGAUUACAAGUCAGUGCGAGCCGGACAGCAGAAGUGUGCACCCAGGACGGGCAGGAGGGCAGAGACCCCGUUGGGAUGUGGGGAGAAGCUUUUCAGAGAAAGUGGUCACACUCGCUGCUGUUUGAGAGGGGUUAUUACGGGGAGGCCCUGCAGUAAGCAGUUGAUGAGGAUCCGCUCAUCCAAGUAUCGUGACGGCACUGCCUGCACUGCCCCGCACGGAGGGGGUAGGUGACAGCAGGUGGCAAGGCGCCCUGGCCCCAGAGCCCGCACCCACCUCCCUCCCCUCCUGCCCCAGUGCGCCAGCCGGGAAGAGGCCAGGGGUCCCCCUGAAGAAGCAGCCGCUGACAGCCAUACCUCUUCUUCCUUCUCUCCUUUACGGGUGGGCCAUCCGUCCUUCAUUACACUCAUCUUCAGUCCAUUCUACCCUGCUGACAGAACGACCCCUCCGAAACACCAAAGGGAUACUGUCACUGCCGUAGGUGGCCCUCCCAUGGCUUCCCGGCCAGCAGAGGCUAAGACAGGUGGGCCCUGUGGGAGCAGGAUGUGCAGAGGAACAAUGAGGCCUGAGCUGAACCCAGCCCUGCCGGGGCGAGCUGAGCCACCAGCGGGACAGCAGUCUGACUGAACUUCCCCGUCCUGCCCAGGAGAUGGCGAGCGUGUGCUGUUGGUGCUUCUCAAAGCCCGCUGAAUUGCUUGAUACGAUCUUCUUUAUGUUAUGAAAGAAGCCAGAGCAGGUUACCUUCCUGGACGUCUACACCAUGGCACCAUGCUCUUCAACUGGGUCAGUUUGUGGUCAUUGCUGCCCACUCCUCCUACAAUCUCUUUGCUGACUACUCUUGCCCGACGAGUUAGCUUGGCUGUCCUCCUGUACACCUUCAGCCUCAUCGCCAUUUUCCUCAACUUCAACCAGCAGACAUACCUGAGAGGCAAUGGGAGAAGCUGACUUAAGGGGAAGGACCCCAGGGCUGAAAUUAGCAGAACAGUGCCCACAGAGACUUGGGCAGAAGACGGCGUGGCUCAGCCCACCUGUGCUGAGCACAUACCUCUGGGCCUGCAUUUUGUCCUCUGAAGGAAGGAGACUUUCCUCCUUUCCAAAAUUCAGGAGGGCAGAAACAGACCCAGCUUCCCGUACUCACUUCCGUUACGGCACUUCCCACAUGGGUUUGUAACUGUUUGUACAUCUCCUUCCUCUACUGGACGUGAGCACCUCGCAGGAGGGACUGUCUUGUUCUCGAUGUUCCCCACACCUGGCACAGCGCCUCAAUAAAUGUGCAUUUGGAUCUUGUAUUCCAUGCCUGGCAGUCAGGACCUCUGGGGAAGUUCAGGGCUGGGAGCAUGGAAGAAGUCAAGGCUGGCUUGAUAUCGAAACUUGUGUGGGAAACGAUGACCAAGAAAACCCAAGAGUGAGUGUGGGUUUGUCUGAUUUCCAGCAUGGCUGUGUAAAUGGUUACCCCCGUGUAUCUUUACAUCUGUUCACCACUGCCUGCAUGUGUAUUUGUGUAGCUGUCUGAUUCUGUGUGUGUGUGAAGGGGUGACCCAGAG